rnacentral:rRNA from 1 species
GGAGUUUGGGCCGUGUCUCAGUCCCAAUGUGGCCGUCCGACCUCUCAGUCCGGCUACAGAUCGUCGCCUUGGUAAGCCGUUACCUUACCAACUAGCUAAUCAGACGCAUCCCCAUCCCCUAGCGGUAAACCUUUGGUAUUCGUCAGAUGUCCUCAAAAUACAACAUAGGGUAUUAAUCCGAUUUUCACCGGGCUAUGCCCUACUGGGGGGAAGGUUGGAUACGCGUUACUCACCCGUGCGCCGGUCGCCAUCAGAGUUUGCAAGCAAACCCCAUGCUGCCCCUCGACUUGCAUGUGUUAAGCCUGUAGCUAGCGUUCAUC